UACAGAGGGUGCAAGCGUUAAUCGGAGUUACUGGGCGUAAAGGGCGCGUAGGCGGUCAUGCAAGUGAGAUGUGAAAUCCCCGGGCUUAACCUGGGAACUGCAUUUUAGACUGUGUGACUGGAGUACCGUAGAGGACAGUGGAAUUUCCGGUGUAGCGGUGAAAUGCGUAGAGAUCGGAAGGAACACCAGUGGCGAAGGCGACUGUCUGGCCAGAUACUGACGCUGAGGCGCGAAAGCGUGGGGAGCAAACAGG
rnacentral:rRNA from 1 species